rnacentral:rRNA from 1 species
UACGGAGGGGGCUAGCGUUGUUCGGAAUUACUGGGCGUAAAGCGCACGUAGGCGGCUUUGUAAGUUAGAGGUGAAAGCCCGGGGCUCAACUCCGGAAUUGCCUUUAAGACUGCAUCGCUAGAAUUGUGGAGAGGUGAGUGGAAUUCCGAGUGUAGAGGUGAAAUUCGUAGAUAUUCGGAAGAACACCAGUGGCGAAGGCGACUCACUGGACACGUAUUGACGCUGAGGUGCGAAAGCGUGGGGAGCAAACAGG